rnacentral:rRNA from 1 species
AUUGAACGCUGGCGGCAGGCCUAACACAUGCAAGUCGAACGAGUGGCGGACUGGUGAGUAAUGUCUGGGAAACUUCCUGAUGGAGGGGGAUAACUACUGGAAACGGUAGCUAAUACCGCAUACCAUCAGAUGUGCCCAGCUGGGAUUAGCUAGUCGGUGGGGUAACGGCUCACCAAGUCGACGAUCCCUAGCUGGUCUGAGAGGAUGACCAGCCACACUGGAGCUGAGACACGGUCAAGACUCCUACGGGAGGCGGCAGUGGGGAAUAUUGCACAAUGGGCGCAAGCCUGAUGCAGCCAGGCCGCGUGUAUGAAGAAGGCCUUCGGGUUGUAAAGUACUUUCAGCGGGGAGGGGUUACCCGCAGAAGAAGCACCGGCUAACUCCGUGCCAGCAGCCGCGGUAAUUC